rnacentral:tRNA from 2 species
GGAGGCAUAGCUCAGCUGGCUAGAGCGUUCGCCUCACACGCGAGAGGUCGUUGGUUCGAGCCCAACUGUCUCCACCA